rnacentral:rRNA from 1 species
GUUCCUACGGGGGGCAGCAGUGAGGAAUAUUGGUCAAUGGCCGAGAGGCUGAACCAGCCAAGUCGCGUGAGGGAUGACGGCCCUACGGGUUGUAAACCUCUUUUGUCGGGGAGCAAGACCCGCCUCGUGCAGGCGGAGCGAGAGUGCCCGAAGAAAAAGCAUCGGCUAACUCCGUGCCAGCAGCCGCGGUAAUACGGAGGAUGCGAGCGUUAUCCGGAUUUAUUGGGUUUAAAGGGUGCGCAGGCGGGAGAUCAAGUCAGCGGGAAAAUGUCGGGGCUCAACCCCGGCCGGCCGGUGAAACUGGG